ACGAAGGGGUCACUCGUGGGGAGCGGGGGAGGGGGAGUGCAGUACGACCGUUUGAUUGACGUACUUACUGUCCAAUACCACUCGGUGGUUCUGAAAAUCAUUGGCUGGAGUUUUUCGAGCCCUGCCCUUGAACCACUGGACAUUUGUGAUGGACAGAGCUGCCUUCAGUUUUGGGCCAUGAACAGGCGCACCCUCCCCUCUUUGGUCAAGGUGGAGGUAAGAGUUAUGGCAGUCCCUGCAUCAAGUGCACCUGUUGAACGUGUGUUCAGCCAUGGUGGGGUGAUAAUGUGACCCCAUCAUUCACAACUCAGUGACCAAGUACUGACAAAUUAUUUUUUUUGCAAAUGCAAUGCAUUGUAAGUCGAUGUAUGUUGCGAGGCAGCAAGAUUGCUACCAGCUUUCAGGCUUGUGUAUUACUAUUUCCCCUUCCUACAGUAUGUGUAUGUCAUAUUACUUUUUUACUUUUUUCAUGUCUGAUGCCAUGUGUUGCAAAUAAUAUUCUACAACAUCUAGGGAGAUUGAGUGAUUGACUUGAACUGUUCUCGUAUACAGCCACCUAGAGGUUCUAGUUGAUUCUGUUCAUAGGUUGGAGGUAAUGAUCGUAAAAACAUUUUCAAACUAUUCACAUAAUGGUUUUGGAAUGUUUUGAAUAGUUUGAGUUAUUGUAAAUGUUAAUACAUUGUUAUUGUUAAUGUUGAAAUAAAACUCAACUUAUGAACCACUCUCUUUAACGAUUUUUAAAUGUGGAAACUGGGUUAGAUCAUCAGAUUUUUGUAUGACUUGACUUGUGACUUGCUUGACCUGAGCAAUGACUUGACUUGUGACUUGCUUGAUUCUCACCACAGUGACUUGGAACUUGCUUGAGACUUGAAGGUUAUGACUUGAGACUUGCUUGUGACUUGCACAUGAGUGACUUACCCCCACCUCUGGUGAAUAGCACUGACAGUAAAAACUUUCACUCGUUUGAGUGAAAGUCAACAUUUUCUUUAUAUCGAGUGACAGUGAUUAUGUCGUUAGUACCACCUAACUUAGUCAGAAAAUUUAGGGGGGCGCUCGUGCGUAGUAAUGGGGUAGACGUGUUUUUUGACUGCUGCGUGCCAUCUCCUUAAAUUUAUCGAUAAAACACUGAACUUCGACAUUUUUUUCCGCUCAGACACUGUAAGCUUUUCUGCAACCUCUCGGUGGUGAUUCGGUGUCACAAUGCCAAAGAAAAUCAAUACCCAGCCGGACCAAAUGGACUCAAGCAACGAAGCUAUAUUAGCUGCCAUCACUCACAAUGGAGCGGAUUUAGCUAAAGUCACAGCUCUCGUGAAUGGAGGGCUGCUCCCGCCGACUCAACGUCAGAAUCAUGGGCAUUAAAGAAGGUGCAGAGAAGGACAGCCCUACUGACUUUGUUUCAAAGUUGAUUCCGGAGCUACUCGGCCAAGACAACUUCAGCAAGCCUGUAAACAUUGACCGAGCCCACCAUAGCCUGAGGCCCAAGCUGCAGCCUAACGAGCGGCCGCGGGUCAUCAUCGCCAAGGUACACAACGACCGAGAUGUUUUCAACAUACUACGGCUCAGUCGUCAACAUGCACCCCUGCGCUACCACGGUGAGAGGGUCUCCAUAUUCCCAGACUACACGGCAGAGGUUACAUCACAGCGACAGGCCUUUAACAGUGUGAGGAAACGGCUAACCGAAGCGGGCCGCUAAGUGUUCUCUGCGUUUUCCAGCCAAGCUACAGGUCGACUACAACAACACAACAAAGUCGUUUGAUUCUCUGGGUGAUGCGGUUUGCCAACUCUUUGGUCCGAGCAGAUGCUUUCUAACUAUAGGCACACAUACUCUUUUAUAUUCUAAUGUAUGAACAUUAAGGUUGUAAGCAAUUUUGCACGAUCUGCCUCCGUAUUUGUGUUCUCUAAUGGUUCCUAAAACAAACAGUGAUCGUAUCACUCGGUCUAGCAGUUUGAUUAUGUAUAACGUUCCUCGGACUCGCACUACGUUUGGUGAAAGUGCUUUUAAAUCUUUUGCCCCGUCAUCAUGGUGUAAGCUACAGGAACACCUUAAACUGGAAUCCCUAAUCACCCUGAACAAUUACAAAAGCAGGAUCAAGGACUAUUUAACCACAAACUGAACACUGACUUACUGCCAAUUAGAUUGAUGCUUUGUGACUUUUUAUUGUGUUUUGUGUCUUGUUUUUAGUGUGAAAUUUUGUGUUUUUGUUGUUUUUAAUGUGAAACUUUAAAUGUUUGUAUGCUGCCUUCUUGGCCAGGACUCUCUUGAAAAAGCGAUUUUGAAUCUCAAUGAGAAUAUUCCUGGAAAAAUAAAGGUUAAUAAAUAAAUAAAGAUGCAUUUGUACUGGGUAGUGGGAAUUUAACCUUUUCUUGCACUUUACUUUCCAAGACUUUUGCUUUGCCUCACGCACAAACGAUCCAUGCACGUCGAUGGACGUCUCCCAUGUGGCGUUUGCCAUUAUUUUAAGUUGACAUGGGGUGUUUUUUUCCCUCGUUUUUGUUGAAGUUGAAUAUGAAGCAAUGUUACAUUUUGUGUUAUGGGACUUGUUGUGCGUCAUGCUGCGUUUGCCAUUGUGCAUAGAAUAACUGCCGGGUCAUUUGGAUUUACUAUCUUCAGGACUAAUCAUUAUUUGCUGACAGGCCCGGUGUCCUAUUUAUAAAAAAAGCUUGAUUGUUUUGAAGUUGUAUGUAUAUUAUGCCGCACCGUUUAUACUACCUUCCAACAUAUCCUACCAAGUGUGAUCUGAAUGAUUCUUUAUACUAGGAUACUUCCUGAAAGUGCAGUUUUCAUGUUUAGAUGUUGGAGAUGCGCACGUUGCGCUAGUUUAGGUAGGUUUUUCAGUAUGCAAUCUGGUUUGCUCUAUUUCCCGGCAGCCUCCUUGUUAACGAGUGGGAUGUUCAGCUUAGUUUUUCCAGCGGGUUUUGUUUUUGUGGGGUGUUUUGUUUUUGUCAUUUUCUGAUCAUUUAUGUCUUUUUUGUCACUCAAUGUCCUGCCAGCUCUCUGUAUGACACAUGUCAAUUUUCAUUUCUUGUCCCUCUCUUUAGAUCCAUGUUAAAUUAAUCACUCAAGUUAGAAAUCAGUCACAUCACUUUCACUUCUUGGAAUUGUAGGGGUAU